rnacentral:rRNA from 1 species
GAUGAACGCUGGCGGCGUGCCUAACACAUGCAAGUCGAACGGAAAGACGAGGAGCUUGCGCCCUUGAGGGUAGCGGGGGACGGGAGCGUGACAGGUACCUAACCUUCAUAUUAGACUGGGAUAACUACGGGGGGCCGAAUACAAUACAGGAGCAUAUGUUGAACGGCAGGGGUCAGUAGUGAUAGGCGGUUUUGGAGUCACUCAUAGCUGGUUCCGGGCCGGAUUAGCUAGUUGGUCAGGUAACGGCUUACCAAGGCGCCGACUCGUAGCCGAACUGAGAGGGUGAUAGGCCACACUGGAACUGAGACACGGUCCAUACUCCUACGGGAGGCAGCAGUCUGGAAUCGUCGGCAAUGGGCGGAAGCCUGACGCAGCGAGGCCGCGUGAGUGAUGAAGGCCUUCGGUUCGUAAAGCCCUGUUAUUGGGUAAGAACAGCUGUGGACUGAACCAUGGCCGUCGUGACGGUACCUAAUCAAAAAGCACCGGCUAACUACGUG